GCGGCGCGAGCCCUGGGCGGCCGGCGCACGCGCGGUGCGGCGGCGCGAGCCCUGGGCGGCCGGCGCACGCGCGGUGCGGCGGCGCGAGCCCUGGGCGGCCGGCGCACGCGCGGUGCGGCGGCGGGCAAGAUGGCGGCGAGCAGGGGCCCCGGUUCCUCCCCAGCGCGGGCCGGGGCGUGCGCUCGCCCCUGCGGACUCAGCCUGGAGGAGUGUGUGUGGGGUGCCUGCGCGGGGGUCUGGAUGUCUCUAGCAGCGGCACGGCAGCCUGAUGCCUCCUCUCGUCUGGGACGCGGGGUCCUUGGGGAGUUCCCUGCUGCCUCCUCUGGCGUUCUCUGCGAGCUCAUAGAUCCCUCCACCUCCUCUCCCCCCCCCCCCCCGCCCCGCUCCCCUGUCUGGUGGGGUGGGAGACCGGUGGCUGCUCCCGCCGAGCUGAGAGCCACGUAGGGCACCCCUAUGUGCUCGCUACGCAUCUGGGAUGGCACCCCUGCCCUGAGGGCCCCGCAGAGUCCCACCCUUCCUGCAACCAGCCCCCCCAGAGCCAUUAAACCACCCACAAAUCCUGCCCCAACACCCCCACAGGCCCCAAAACGCCUCCGAGCCCUGCCGCAAUGUUGUCACUGACUCCAGACCUUCCCCUGCACUCUGUGCAAGGCCCCAAACAUUCCUCAAACUGCUGCCAGACCCAGUGCCCGCAGCAGUGAGGCGUUCUAACAAAGAUGGGGUGCGAUGUGCGUCUCCGCCUCGACUCAGUCCCGCUUUAGAGAAACAGGAAGUUACAGCACUUCCUGGUGAAGAGUGUUGACGGGUGAAUGUGCGGAUGACAAAGAGACUUCUCUCUCUUUUCUUCUGAGCCGCCUCUCAGAAGCCUCUGUGUGUGCACGAUGUGGCUGAUCUGGGAUAAUCGUGCUGUGCGCAGUGCUUAAGGAGAACAUUGCCCUAAAAUGGAGGGCUAAGGAAUAGCCUAAGAAACCUAAAAGGCUCGGGAAGAGCCAAAGAGAACACCGAUGGGCUCUGGGAAGCCCCAGUGAUGCUAGCGAAAACAGCGUGGCUUUUAGGCACCUCCUCAGAGCAGCAGCAAUGUCUCGCUCCAGCCUAUGGGACAAUGGGGACUCUUAAUUACCGCCUUGAAUUACCACAAGUGUUGCAAAAGCAGAAGGGACUAGGGAGCAUGCAGAGCAGGUUAUGGACUAUAUGUCAAGUUUAAACAAGCAACAAGCCCCUCUGCAAACAGAAACAGGUUUAGCCCUAAGUAAUAGACGAAGGUAGCUGUGAGUAACGUGAAGCGAAGCGGUGACGUCAGUCACCCCGAAAGCCUCGGAGAAGCGGUCUGAAAAUCUGGUACCCUCGCGACCUCGGCAGUCUUUUUGGUUUGUUUGGCAGGGUAGCCCACCGAAGGGGGACAUCUCGAAGAGAAGCAGCAAGACCUGGGGAUCCGGUGGUUCAUUUUGGUCGUCGCCUGUGAGGCCAGCAUGCAAGAGUAAGAGGAAGCUAGGAGCAGUCUCAAAAAGAUAUGGAACCGAGGACAGCAAAUGCUGACGAAGAGAAGAGACGGACGAGCGUUUGCUUGCGGUUAAUACCGAAGGGACGGGAUGAAACAAGGAAGCCAGAAUGCAGCGGCCCCUCGAUAUCACCAGGAACUGCUACAGGAGGAGGCGUUCUGGCACGGGUAACUAGGAUUAAUUGCCACGGCUGAAGUUGAAGAGACCAAGAAACGUAAGCCCCGAAGGGGCACAUCUUGAAGAGAGGGGGCUAGACCUAGCGAUCCAGUUGUUCGUUUUGGUCGUCGCCUGUGAGGCCAGCAUGCAAGAGUAAGAGGAAGCUAGGAGCAGUCUCAAAAAGGUAAUAGGUCUGAAAGGGAGACAGGCAAAUCGAGGGCUGUCAUUCCUCCACGUAGUUAAAGACCGAGAGAGUUGUCGGUUAAGCGCAUGCAUACGAGGGUUUGCGAACAGUACCAAUAACACUGAAGCGGAAUAAAAAUAAGGUUUCGUGGAAGAUGGCGUUAGGAAGGUAUUAGGCGACGUGCCCGCCUGCCUAAUAACCUAGCCCUAAUUGCUGUGUGUAACGUUUCCAGACCGUUUACCCUGCAACGUAUGGUGCAAAGUGCCGUAUUAAGACCUUUCCCUUAAGGAAAAGAAGAAGGAAAAAAGGGGGAAAAAGAAAACAGGGUAAAGAGAAAAAGAUCAUGCAUAAACCUAAGCGUUUCACUGGAAGUAAAACGCGAGUUUAUCGCUUCCUUACAGAGAUGGAACCAAGGACAGCAAAUGCUGACGAGGAGAAGAGACGGACGAGCGUUUGCUUGCGGUUAAUACCGAAGGGACGGGAUGAAACAAGGAAGCCAGAAUGCAGCGGCCCCUCGAUAUCACCAGGAACUGCUACAGGAGGAGGCGUUCUGGCACGGGUAACUAGGAUUAAUUGCCACGGCUGAAGUUGAAGAGACCAAGAAACGUAAGCCCCGAAGGGGCACAUCUUGAAGAGAGGGGGCUAGACCUAGCGAUCCAGUUGUUCGUUUUGGUCGUCGCCUGUGAGGCCAGCAUGCAAGAGUAAGAGGAAGCUAGGAGCAGUCUCAAAAAGGUAAUAGGUUUGAAAGGGAGACAGGCAAAUCGAGGGCUGUCAUUCCUCCACGUAGUUAAAGACCGAGAGAGUUGUCGGUUAAGCGCAUGCAUACGAGGGUUUGCGAACAGUACCAAUAACACUGAAGCGGAAUAAAAAUAAGGUUUCGUGGAAGAUGGCGUUAGGAAGGUAUUAGGCGACGUGCCCGCCUGCCUAAUAACCUAGCCCUAAUUGCUGUGUGUAACGUUUCCAGACCGUUUACCCUGCAACGUAUGGUGCAAAGUGCCGUAUUAAGACCUUUCCCUUAAGGAAAAGAAGAAGGAAAAAAGAAAAAAAAGGGGGAAAAAGAAAACAGGGUAAAGAGAAAAAGAUCAUGCAUAAACCUAAGCGUUUCACUGGAAGUAAAACGCGAGUUUAUCGCUUCCUUACAGAGAUGGAACCAAGGACAGCAAAUGCUGACGAGGAGAAGAGACGGACGAGCGUUUGCUUGCGGUUAAUACCGAAGGGACGGGAUGAAACAAGGAAGCCAGAAUGCAGCGGCCCCUCGAUAUCACCAGGAACUGCUACAGGAGGAGGCGUUCUGGCACGGGUAACUAGGGUAAGUAUCGCUAAUGACCGUUAGCAGUUAUUUCGGCCUCCCCGAGGCAGCGCUGAGGACUAAGUAACCUGAGGGGCUCUGGCCUGGGUUAGGGCAGAAGUGCAGGCAGGCGGGAUCAGGCAUUUUCCUCUCAGCUCUCCAAGCUGAAUCCUAGCCCUGAAGGAAAAAGCACUGGGGGGAGGCUACUCGGACACCUGCCACGUCGAGGGCAGGGGCAGGAGCUGACCCUUCCCCGACGGACGGACGGACAGACAGACGCUGGUGCGGCGGUGACUCUUUGGAUAUCGUAGGUAAGGGGAGGCACGCUGGUGCCGAGCUCCAGGGCGGUUUGCCUGAACACGAUGCCCGGGGCAGGAGGUUACGCAUUGUGUCCGGGGCUGGGAGCUGGUCCCCGAGUCCCAUGUACUUGGGAGUGCCUGCGCUUGCCAGGGAGCCCGGUGCUGUUCCCAGAGCUGCGGGGAAUUUCCCUUGCGUUGCCUGGACCCUCGGGGCUCUUGGGGGUGUUUCCCCUCAUCGCAAGGGCAGCCGGAGCCCCUCCAGGGCUGCGUGAGGUCCCCGAACCGCUCCCGGAUUUGCUUUUGGCACUCCGCAGUGUCGCUCGUGUGCCUGGGGCAGCCUGCAGGCGCCAUCCUGUCAGCCGCGUUGAGCCCUGCGGCGUGCCUGGUGACCCCUCUGGUGUGCGCCAAGGCCCUUCCUCUGUAUUUUGGUCUGCCCCAGAGCCCUGCACUUGCCCUCUGAUGCCCUCAGGACCCCUCAGUUCACAUUCUGGGUUGCCCCCGAGCCCUCUGCGUGCCUUUCGGUGCGCCCCGUGGCCCCGUGUGUGUUUUGCGGCAUGCCGCAGAGGUCUCUGUUUAGCUUUUUCUCCUGUCCUGGAGUUUUCUGGGUGCUUCUGGGUGUGCCCCAGGGCCCUCCUUUUGGUGCCCCCAGAGUCACUCUGUUUGCUCUAUCGUUCUUUUUUUUUUUUUUUUUUUUUUUUUUUUUUUUUUUUUUUUCUUGACUUGUGUUGCACCCAGAGCUCUCGAUUUGUUCUCUUGUGCUCCGCAUACUCCCCUUUCCGCACUCUACACCCCAGGCAGGGCUCUCCCUUCAGCUCUCAGCAAGCUGCUGUCAGGAGAGUGGGGGUGCCUCUGCUGCCCUGGCAGCCCCAGCUGUCCCUGAAGGGGCUGAUGGCCAGGCCCCCUGCCCAGUUCCUGCAGGCCCACAGCUGCGGGCCCUGGGGCUGGGAUGAAUGCCAGGGGGAGCUGGGUGGCAGGACAGGCCCCAGGUGGGGCUGAUGGCAAGGGCAGGCCCACAUUUGGGGGCUGGGGCCGCAGUUGGGGGGAGCUGGCGCUGGGGCAGGAGCUGGGCAGCGGAGCUGCCGCGGAGCACGGCCCUUCGGGACCAGCCCGGCGGCCGCCCCGCGGAGGAGGUGAGCGGGGCCGGGGGAGGCGCACUGCAGGCUGCGGGUCCCGCAUGUGCCGGGGGUCCCGGCGGCUGGGAGCGUCCCGGGGCCACGGAGGCGGGGGGAGGAAGGGGGUGCGCCGGGGCUGCGGUGCGGUUUACUGCGCGGUCGGAGGAGCG